AAAGAACACAGUGGUUCUUAACCUGGAGUCCUCAAACGGGGGGCCCGGCCGAUCCACUGGGGGCCCCGGCCCGGCCGAUCCACUGGGGGGAGGGGUACCCCAGUGGGAUCAGUCACACACUUCAAAGUGUACACUAUAUUAACGUUAGGGACCAGUCACACACUUCAAAGUGUACAGUAUUUUAAUGAUCGGAUAAAUCAGGCGUACAUCAAGUAUACAACAGAAUACUAACAGAUCUAGAAUCAGAGAGAAGACAUGAUCAGUUUCUACAUUACCCCCCCAGACGGAUCACAUCGACAUGAUCCGUUUCUACAUUACCCCCCCAGAGGGAUCACAUCAACAUGAUCAGUUUCUACAUUACCCCCCCAGACGGAUCACAUUGACAUGAUCAGUUUUCAGGCAUGUUUCACGGUUAGUAAAGAGAGAACAGGGGCACGGGAGAGAAAACAGGGGCACGGGAGAGAAAACAGGGGCACGGGAGAGAAAACAGGGGCGCGGGAGAGAAAACAGGGGCGCGGGAGAGAAAACAGGGGCGCGGGAGAGAAAACAGGGGCGCGGGAGAGAAAACAGGGGCGCGGGAGAGAAAACAGGGGCGCGGGAGAGAAAACAGGGGCACGGGAGAGAAAACAGGGGCGCGGGAGAGAGAACAGGGGCGCGGGAGAGAGAACAGGGGCGCGGGAGAGAGAACAGGGGCGCGGGAGAGAGAACAGGGGCACGGGAGAGAGAACAGGGGCACGGGAGAGAGAACAGGGGCACGGGAGAGAGAACAGGGGCACGGGAGAGAGAACAGGGGCACGGGAGAGAGAACAGGGGCACGGUAGGCAUCUCUCUCAUUUCACACCGUCUCCUUAACGACGGACAUGUUUCAGUACGAUACAGUUAAUUUCAAACCGUUGACAGAAGCGCUGCGUCGUGGUCCUGAACACAGCCUACCAUCAUCAUCAUCAUCCUCAUCAUCAUCAUGGCACUAAAACCAGAGCAGCAGAGUCGUGGUCCUGAACAGAGCCGAGUCGUAGCAAGCAAAGCCCAGGGAUCACCGUCCGUUCUUAAAAACACUGACGUCGCCUUUUCGCGACGUAAACAAGAGUUUCUAUUUGACAACACUUCAGGCAGGUCCCGUUCCAGAUGCUUCCGGUUGGUUCCUAGUGAAUCCAUCCUUGUUCCACUGCGGUCCAGUCCUCCACCGGGUCAGUAACGGUCCAGUCCCCCCCGGGGUCGGUAACGGUCCAGUCCCCCCCGGGUCGGUAACGGUCCAGUCCCCCCCGGGUCGGUAACGGUCCAGUCAAUAACGGUCCAGUCAGUAACGGUCCAGUCCUCCACCGGGUCAGUAACGGUCCAGUCAAUAACGGUCCAGUCCUCCACCGGGUCGGUAACGGUCCAGUCAAUAACGGUCCAGUCCCCCCCGGGGUCGGUAACGGUCCAGUCCCCCCCGGGGUCGGUAACGGUCCAGUCAGUAACGGUCCAGUCAGUAACGGUCCAGUCCCCCCCGGGUCAGUAACGGUCCAGUCUCCCCCGGGUCAGUAACGGUCCAGUCAGUAACGGUCCAGUCUCCCCCGGGUCAGUAACGGUCCAGUCUCCCCCGGGUCAGUAACGGUCCAGUCUCCCCCGGGUCAGUAACGGGUCAGUAAUGGCACUUCUCAGGGUUGGUCCAACAGCCUGGGUCUGAAUCUUAACAGCUGUUAGCCUGCUGAACUGAAGCCAAGGCAUUAACUUGGGGGAGCUAACAAGUCUUCAGUAAACAGUCCUGGAAUUAUCCCAAAGCAGGAGAGGGGCUGGUGUAGUCAGUGGGCAGAGCUAAGGUACGGCAGCUCCACCCAUAAUGCACUGGGCUAAGGUCACAGAGGUCGUGACCACUUCUGACCCUGCCCACAUCAGGGGUUAAAGUUCAUAUAGCAGAGAUAUUAAAAAAAAAAAAACAGUCAUGAUCCUGAAGGAUGAUGAAACACAAUCAGUGUGUGUGUGUGUGUGUGUGUGGGGGUCAGAGUUCAUAUGGUCCGUUUGACACAGGGUCGUCCACUGAGGUGGGAACAUAUGGCUGCUCAACCAAUCAGCAUCCUCUAACAUGUCCACACCUAGACACAGAAAGAGAGAGAGAGGAGGAGAGACAAGCGAGACACAAGAAAGAGAGAGCGAAAGACAGAGAGAGAGAGAAAACACAGUGAGGGAUAUUGGAAUGGAUUGCCUGACUGACUAACCCUUCCACUACAAUUUUCACGGCCCCAAAAAUCCAGAGUGGCGUCGCAGUGUCAGAGGCGUCACUACAGACCCUGGUUCGAUCCCGGGCUCUAUCACAACCGGCCGUGAUAGGGCGGCGCACAAUUGGCCCAGCGUCGUCCGGGUUGGGGGGGGAGGGGCACCUGCAGGCUGACCAGUUAAACGGUGUUUCCGCCGACACAGCAACCUUCCCACUAGCCAUGAUUGGCUGAGAUAAUGAGUGGGCUGGACAUGCCGAGAGAGUAGUAGUUCGGAUUGGUCCUGCCAUAUAGAAGGCUUCUCUAUCUGUUUGAGCUCGUCAGUCUGUCUUGGUAAUGUAGUAGAGCUGCGUAAGUGUUGCUCUCCACUUUCUGGAGGAUCAAGUUUUGAAAAAUCUGUGGAAAUUAGAGUCUGAUAGCUAAGGAGAUGGAGGAAACACCUGUCUCCGGGAUUACAUCUUCAAAACUAAGGGCAACCGUGGCGUGGCAUCCGUGACAGGGAGAGGCGUCCAUCAUGGAUCAUGGAUGUAUACGGGUAAGAUAGCUUGUUACAUUUUCAGAUAUUACACGUUUUCUAAUUUUGACAGAAUGGGGUUUUCAUUUCAAGCUAAAGUGCACCGUUAGCUAGCUAGCUACGGGUCUGAAGCUAAAGUGCACUGUUAGCUAGCUAGCUAACGUUAGCCGGCUGGCUCAUUAGCUAACGUUAGCCGGCUGGCUCAUUAGC
rnacentral:lncRNA from 1 species